rnacentral:rRNA from 1 species
UACGGAGGGUGCAAGCGUUAUCCGGAUUCACUGGGUUUAAAGGGUGCGUAGGCGGACUUGUAAGUCAGUGGUGAAAUCUCUUUGCUUAACAAAGAAACUGCCAUUGAUACUGCAGGUCUAGAGUAUAGAUGACGUUGGCGGAAUAUGACAUGUAGUGGUGAAAUACUUAGAUAUGUCAUAGAACACCGAUUGCGAAGGCAGCUAACGAAACUAUAACUGACGCUGAGGCACGAAAGUGCGGGGAUCAAACAGG